AUACAUGCAAGUUGAGCGCUGAAGGUUGGUACUUGUACCGACUGGAUGAGCAGCGAACGGGUGAGUAACGCGUGGGGAAUCUGCCUUUGAGCGGGGGACAACAUUUGGAAACGAAUGCUAAUACCGCAUAAAAACUUUAAACACAAGUUUUAAGUUUGAAAGAUGCAAUUGCAUCACUCAAAGAUGAUCCCGCGUUGUAUUAGCUAGUUGGUGAGGUAAAGGCUCACCAAGGCGAUGAUACAUAGCCGACCUGAGAGGGUGAUCGGCCACAUUGGGACUGAGACACGGCCCAAACUCCUACGGGAGGCAGCAGUAGGGAAUCUUCGGCAAUGGACGAAAGUCUGACCGAGCAACGCCGCGUGAGUGAAGAAGGUUUUCGGAUCGUAAAACUCUGUUGGUAGAGAAGAACGUUGGUGAGAGUGGAAAGCUCAUCAAGUGACGGUAACUACCCAGAAAGGGACGGCUAACUACGUGCCAGCAGCCGCGGUAAUACGUAGGUCCCGAGCGUUGUCCGGAUUUAUUGGGCGUAAAGCGAGCGCAGGUGGUUUAUUAAGUCUGGUGUAAAAGGCAGUGGCUCAACCAUUGUAUGCAUUGGAAACUGGUAGACUUGAGUGCAGGAGAGGAGAGUGGAAUUCCAUGUGUAGCGGUGAAAUGCGUAGAUAUAUGGAGGAACACCGGUGGCGAAAGCGGCUCUCUGGCCUGUAACUGACACUGAGGCUCGAAAGCGUGGGGAGCAAACAGGAUUAGAUACCCUGGUAGUCCACGCCGUAAACGAUGAGUGCUAGAUGUAGGGAGCUAUAAGUUCUCUGUAUCGCAGCUAACGCAAUAAGCACUC
rnacentral:rRNA from 1 species